rnacentral:precursor_RNA from 8 species
UCAUGGGUUUUCAUCAUUUUACUGCGCUUUAGCUGGUAAACGGGAACCAAAUCGUGGCCUUGUGUGGAUUUGGUCCCCUUCAACCAGCCGUAGCACAGCAUUCUUGCAACUGGGACGCAUC